CAUGCAGUCGAACGAUGAUCCCAGCUUGCUGGGGGAUUAGUGGCGAACGGGUGAGUAACACGUGAGUAACCUGCCCUUAACUCUGGGAUAAGCCUGGGAAACUGGGUCUAAUACCGGAUAUGACUCCUCAUCGCAUGGUGGGGGGUGGAAAGCUUUAUUGUGGUUUUGGAUGGACUCGCGGCCUAUCAGCGUUGUUGGUGAGGUAAUGGCUCACCAAGGCGACGACGGGUAGCCGGACUGAGAGGGUGACCCCCCCCACUGGG
rnacentral:rRNA from 1 species